GCUUAAGGGUGCGUAGGYGGYUGUUUAAGUCUGAUGUGAAAUCCCUGAGCUCAACUGAGGAAYUGCGUUUGAUACUGWUUKGCUAGAGUGUUUUACAGGUGAGCGGAAUUKCCAGUGUAACGGUGAAAUGCUGUUGAUAUUGGGAAGAACACCAGUGGCGAAGGCGGCUCACUGGGGCAUWACUGACGCUGAGGCACGAAAGCCWGGGGAGCGAACGGGAUUAGAUACCCCGGUAGUCCUGGCCGUAAACKAUGAAURCUGGGCGGGAGGGGGUUUCCCCUUUCUGCCGUAGCCWAAGSGUUGAGUAUUCCCCCCGGGGAGGAUGGGCCCCAGGAUGAAACUCAAAGGAAUUGGC
rnacentral:rRNA from 1 species